UACAGAGGUCUCAAGCGUUGUUCGGAUUCAUUGGGCGUAAAGGGUGCGCAGGCGGCGUGGUAAGUUGAGUGUGAAAUCUCGGGGCUUAACCCCGAAACUGCACUCAAUACUGCCAUGCUUGAGGACUGUAGAGGAGAUUAGAAUUCACGGUGUAGCAGUGAAAUGCGUAGAUAUCGUGAGGAAGACCAGUUGCGAAGGCAGAUCUCUGGGCAGUUCCUGACGCUCAUGCACGAAGGCUAGGGGAGCAAACGGG
rnacentral:rRNA from 1 species